GUGAGGAAUAUUGCGCAAUGGAGGCAACUCUGACGCAGCCAUGCCGCGUGCAGGAAGAAGGCGCUACGCGUUGUAAACUGCUUUUAACCGGGAAGAAACCCCAGGACGUGUCCUGGGUUGACGGUACCGGAGGAAUAAGCACCGGCUAACUUCGUGCCAGCAGCCGCGGUAAUACGAAGGGUGCAAGCGUUAUCCGGAUUCAUUGGGUUUAAAGGGUGCGUAGGCGGAGCGUUAAGUCAGUGGUGAAAUCCUGCAGCUUAACUGUAGACUUGCCAUGGAUACUGGCGCUCUUGAGUGCGCUGGAAGUGGGCGGAAUGUGCCGUGUAGCGGUGAAAUGCUUAGAUGUGGCACAGAACACCAAUUGCGAAGGCAGCUCACUAAGGCGAUAAUGACGCUGAGGCACGAAAGCGUGGGGAUCGAACAGGAUUAGAAACCCUGGUAGUCC
rnacentral:rRNA from 1 species